rnacentral:rRNA from 1 species
CGUCCUAUAAACGACAAUACGUAGGCAGUUACUACCCAUAAUAAAGUCACCUAGCAUACCCCCACUAUWAGGUGACCCUGGUAAAAUUUAAUUACUGCAAAAUUCUUGYUUUAACAUAUUAUAUCAAGGUGCACCUWAUAAUGAGGGAGUGAUGGGUUACCAUAUAAUAAAUGGAAACGGAUUACAUAAUUAAUCGUUUAUAUAAAGGAGGAUUUAAUAGUAGAGAGGUUAUAAUAAGUCUUCUCGAUUUUAGCUCUAGAUUCUGUACACAUCGCCCGUCGCUCUCGUUAA